ACAAGUGUUUGGUUCCUCCACCACAACUCUAGAAUUCCCGUAUGGCUGAUAGUGCGAAUUCGCAAAGGAAGAAUGAUAUUGGUACGGGUAGUUCAUAUGCGUAACUGGAAAGGCAACAAUUUCAGCCGGUUUAGCCGUAUCAGGUUUAGCUGGAGCCGGUUUCGCCGGCUCAGGCUUUUUCUCAGGUGGUUUAACAACUUCAACCGAAACAAUUUCUGCAUUACACAGUUUCCUUAGCUUCAUCACGAGAACCGGUGUAUCAACUUCUCCAACUACUGUCAUUUUCCCUGUUUUGUCAUCCAUUGUUAUCGAAGUAACCCCUUGAGAUCGAGAGACGGUCACAAACGCUUUCUUCCUGAUUCUCUCAUCGUGGACACUCAAUUGCAACACAGCUUUCUGUAAUUUCAAACUUGAGAUCAGUAUGGUUAUAAUUGUAUAUUUAUGAAAUAAGUUUGACUAAAUGGUUUAUAUAUAUAACGAUCAAUCAAAGAUCAUUAAGUUAAAUAUAAUUAUUUUCAGAUAGAAAAAAUAUGAAAGAAAAGGAUACCUUAGCGGUCAUGGCUGAAGAAUACUAGAGUAAAGCUUGAGAAAUUUCCGAUAUAUUUAUCAAAGAAAGAACGAUAUGAGGUAUGGCUUGCGUCUUGCGAUGUUGAACCUUCUUGAUGAUAUAUUUAUUAAAGAAAGAACGAGAUGAGGUAUGGUUUGAGAUGUUGAACCUUCUUGAUGACAAUUGCAAGCAAUAAGAUAUCCAUUAUAUAGAAAUUGCAUAGGAAACUACUAGGAAUCUAAUACUAUGACCCACAUAGUUUUUUCUAUUUUUAAAUAACAAAAAAGCAUUUGUCCAAAAAAAAAAAUAAUAAUAAUAACAAAAAAGCAUUGCGACGACUAUUAAAAGAGUAACGGAGUCAAUCUUUAUUUAACUUAUAGCUAGUAUUGUUUCUGGUAUGUGGUUGAAAAGUAAAAUAAAUCCAACGACGCAACGACGAAAGCAACGGGAGAAGUGUUGACUGCUCAUUUGGUCGCUUAUACGACCUUGUCGACGUUGAUUUGUGACCUUGUUGACCUAUUUGGUCAUGGACAAGUUCUUAAGAUUUUGUUCAAGAGAUCAGUUUUAUAACAUCCAAACGAACACUGGAUACUGGAAUCAAACUGAGAUUGACGUCACAAACGCAAAUAUUCCAAAAAAAAAUUAAUGAUCUUGGAUUUUAAUUUGUGUUUGGUUAAUUAGAUAUUUUGCUUAUUCAUUAUGAGAAAACAUAAAUCCAGGAUAUACUAUAGAGUAAGAUUAUUGUUUAUUUUAUAUUUUACUUUGAUAAAAAUUUAUGAUAAACUGUUACACAUAUGAUCUAUCUUAUUAAAAGAAAAUCAACAUAUUGAAAUAAUUUUACAAUUACGUGGGGUAUAUUAUGAAAAUGCCACUGAUUUAUAACGAGAAAAUGGACUUUUAAAUCUCCAACUAUUUGAAAUCAGCAUUUUUAAUACCCAACUAUUACUUGCGCAGAUUUAAUCUCGAAGUCAUUGUUGACUGCGCAAAAUUAGACUUAAAAAAGUCAAACGUUAAUUCUAAACAUAAACGUUAACUGAAAUAAAAAAAGUGAUCAAGUUUGGCUUUUAAAACCCAAUCCCUAAAAUUGUUUCACUUUAUGCGACUCCGAGUGAGAGGAAGUGAUUCACGGCGACUGAAUAAUAAACAAGUGUACUUCCGGUGAGAGGAUGGUGAAAACCUACUUUGGAACUAGUGGUAGAAGUUGGGAAUUUUUUUUUAUUUGAAGAUCAUCCAGAAUUUCAAUUCCGAUAGAGAGUGAAAGGUAAACGAAUAAGCUUUGUUGAAUCAUGUCCGAGUUCCAAAGUAGGUUUUUACCAUCCACUCACCGGAAGUACAUUUGUUUAAUCUUUGGUCACCGUGAAUCGCUUCUUUUCACUUAGAAUCGCAUAAAAAAAUCGAUUUCAGGGAUUUUAGAGUUUUGAAAGCCAAACUCGAUCCCUUUUCUAAUUACAAUUAACGUUUUUGUCUAGUAAUUAACGUUUAACAUUUGUAAGUCUAAUUUUGCGCAGUCAACUAAUGACUUCGGGAUUAAAUAUCCGCAAGUGAUAGUUGAGUAUUAAAAAUAAUGGUUUCAAAUAGUUGGAGAUUUAAAAGUACAUUUUUGAGAUUUAUAACUAUGACUUGAGUUUUCUUUAAUGGUAGUUUGGUCAUUUUAAUACAAUGCACCAAUGCACAUUAGAUUAUUCUACCACUAAAUAAUAUCUUUUAUUUUUUUCUAUAUUUAUGCUUUACUAUAACAAAAUAUUAGUUAAAAUGUUUUUUUUCAAAUAACAAACUAUUCACAAUUAUUAUCAAAAUACUAUUAAUAAAUAUUGAUUCAGUUUUUCUUGCUUUAAAAAAUGAAAAUAAAAUAUUUUUUAUGAUAUUUAAAUUAUCAAAUGGAUCAAAAAAUAUUUUCAAUAUUUAGUAAUUUUAACAAGCAAUUAUUAUAAUAAAUUAUAAAAUUUGAUAAAUUGAGCAUACUGUAAAUUUAAAAUCCAAUAGUUUUGCCUUAAACAGACGCUGCUAUCACCAAAAAAAAAAAAAAACUGGCCAACACAUAAACAGAAAUAAAGUUAAAUAUUUAAAUUUUAGUAAGUUAAAUUUGCUAGGUAAUUGUUAUGCGAUUUAUAAGCGUAUGUAAGAAUCUAGUCUAUAAUGAGUCUUAGAACUUUCAAGUCUAGUAAUAUUGGUUUAUAAAUUCUCACAUUCUCAUUAAAAUCUAGUGUUACUGGUUUGAUGAUUCUAUAAUUUUAUACAAAAUUAUUUGUUAUUCAAAAAUUUAACAUUUAAAUGAUUCUACAAUUCUAUUAAAAUAAGUGUUAUUGGGAGUUGAAUUUUUAUUAUUUUAACUCACAAAACAAGAUUUUGAGAAUACUACAUGUUUCCCUUGAAUUUUUAAAAUCAUUACAUUAUUUUAUUUUAAUAUAUUUUCACAAUAUACAAAAUUCUCUACAAUUCUUUCCCAAUUUAACAAAUCUCUCAACUUUUAAAAUCAACAAACUCAAUAGAAAUCUAAGUCCCACUAACACCCCCUUAAAAUAGAAGUCAUGACUUCUUUCAUGUGUGAUUUUUUAUUUGGACCAUUCCUAGAAAAUUAAAUAUAUUUUACAUAACUUAAUUAUAAUAUCUUUUAAUAUUUUAUUUUAUUUGAAUUACUAUUAAAUCUUAAAGAAAUGUCUAACAAAAUAUUUCAAAUAUAUUUUUAGAAUCUUUUUAAAAUAUAUUUUAGAAAUUAGUUAAUUAAAAUUUUAAUUAUCACAAAGUAUAAUUAGAAACUAAAUUUUAAUUUAGUUUUGAUUGUAAACAAAAUAAUAAUUAUAUAAAAUAUUUUAACAAUAUUUUAAUAAUGAUAAAAAUUUUAAAUUGAUUUAAUUUUCAAAACUAAAUUUAAGAAAUAUUUUAAAAGAUGUUUUUUAAAAGAAAUGUUCAUUAUAUAUCUAAUUUAAAAGUAAAAAUAUUUUAUUUAUUUAGCAUAUAAAUUAUGACUUAUUUCAUAUGCGAUUUUUUUCAAUUUAGACCAUUUAAAAGUCAUACCUUUAGAUGUUUAAUUCAAUUAAUUUACACCUCCCUUCAUAGAUGAAACAUUUGAUCUUUAUUCAUGUCGUAUAUAUAAAACUUCAGUCUACUGUUUUUAACGUUUGUGUAUUCUCCUGAGUUAAAAAUUAAUUCAGUUUAUUAUUUAAACAACUAUACAAAAUGGUUUAAUUAAUCAGUAUAUACCAAAUUCUCUAUUAUGUAAGUUCAACUUAAUUUGAUUUCCACAUAUAUUUUAAAUUUAGAAAUAAAACAAAAAUUAUGUAAAUCAGUAUUGUUAAAUAAUAAUGUUUUCAAAAUAAAUUUUGUUUACAAAAAUAAAAAAUUUAGAAAUUUUAUAGUAAUAAUAUUAUACGCCACACAAAUAUUAUUAUAAAAUUAGAUAAUAUAUAACACCAAAUUAUAUUAAUCUACUUAUAUAUUUUAUUGUAUAACAUACAAUAUUUGAUUAUUAGAAAAAAAUUACAGGUCGUGAAGGUCAAGAUCUAGUCUACUCUAUUAAAAUAGAGUCUUAUUUUAUAUAUGCUUAUAAAAGUUGUCAUUUAAUUUUGGACUUAUGUAUAUCUUAUUAGAACAAAAUAUAAUAACCCCUAUAAUUCAGAUGAACUGAAUAUAACAAUCCCAACAAUUCGGAUGGAAAUUUUUUGUAUAUGAAAAUUUCAACUAUUCAAUGUCAUUAAUCACUAUGAAAACUUACCAAAUUAUUAUAUAUCACCGACUCAACGUAUCAGACUAACAAAGCAAAAUUUCGUAUAAUUAUAUAGCUAAACCGAUUCUAACUAUUGACCCAACAAUCCCAUACGGGUAUGGCUAUGGUUGAUAUGCAAAUGACACUAAAAUUUUAAUCUCACAUUCAGUUAUAUAUACUUUACAAGUUUUGUAUAGUACGGUUUUGUGAAUUUUAUAUUGUAUUAUAUUUUAUAUAACAGUUAUAUUUGAAUUUCAUUCAUUUAUAUAUACAUGUGUUUUUAUAAAAUCACAUAUAUUUAUUGAUGAAUCAUUCAUUCUAUUUCAUAUACCAAAACUGAACUCCAUAAUUUAUAAAUUUUGUGGCAUAUUAUCUAUACUACUAAAGCAAAAUACCUCCUAAGAUUUUGCCCAUAGUUUAACACUAUAAUUACAAUUCUAUGCCGUUAAGAGAAUAUUCUGAUAUUAAUGAUGGACCCAUUAAAAAUCGUUAAAACAAGAAAAAUAAAAAAUAAAAAAAACACGGGACCUACCUAAAAUAUUUAUCGGAAAGAAGAAGAAACAAAUUGAUCAAUCUAUAAUUAGUGUCCGCUGCAAAAAGGAAAUUAAUCUAUUCUAAUAUUCACCUCUACUAAUUAAAUCAAUAAGUAUAAACAAUUCAAAACCUAUAAAAUUCACUGAUGAGUACAAACAACACGACUAUGGAGGUUGGGAUGUAGCUUUAAAAUCUAUGCUAUAAAAUUUAGUUUAUAAUUUUUUUUUUUGUAGAUGUAUCAGUUAUAGCUGUAAAAAUUAAAUAGAUUAAUACAAUGGUAGGAAUAGUUCUAGAAAAUAUCAAAACUGUAAAUAGAUUAUCUUAUAUAAGAAUACAUAAUCUUAUAAAUUUUAAAAAGAAACAAAUUCUGCGUUUUAAAAGCGCGGAUCAGAAUCUAAUUAUAAUUAAACCAAAGUUCAGUCAGAUUCGCAACACUGCGAGGAAAGAUCGUGAAAUGGGCACUAUUGGACCCUAAAGAUCAUCCUUAUAUGAUUUAAAGUUCAUUCGAGUAAAACAGUGUGACAAGCAUACAUGUCUUUGUGUAUAUAUAUAUACUAGGAUAAGACCUGCAUAAAUUUAUAUGAAAAUUAUUUAAGAAAUAUCGUAUGAAAAAAAAUUCAUAGUAUUGAUCGAAUUAAUAUAUUUGGCUCUUAAACAAUUUUUUAAAACCUUUUUUAAUUAUAUAAUUUGUUUAGUAAUGAACUGAUCCCAUUUUUAAAAAUAUUUUAGGUCAAAAAAUUAUUUAUCGCAUAAAAACCUAACUUUUAGGCCGAAGAAUCUCAUGCCUACUAUUUGGUUACAAUGAAACUAUGUCAGUUCGGUUUUAUAUCAUGAUUUAGCAAUUUAAAAGUUAAUUAUGGUUAUGAAAAGUUUACGUUCACGUGCCAAUCCUAUCUAUAUUCGAUAUUUUUCUCAUUUUUGUGUCGUUUUGGUUAUUGCUCGAUAUAAAUAUUGAUUUUUGAGUUUUUCUCAUUUUUUUUCUUUUAUAUUGGUCUGAGAUUUAGAAAAUGUUUAAGAUUCAAAAUUAUUAAAGAGAUACAUACUUAGGUUAAGAUCUGCGCUUUGUGCAGAAUAAAUACUUAUUUUAUAUUUUUUUCUGCAUAUUAUGAAAUAAUAAAAUAAUAUUUAUAUAUUAAAUAACUAAGAAAUUAGUUACUAUUAUGUAAUAAAUUGGCUUGUACAUAUAAAUCAAAUGACCGUUCUUGUUUAUUCGCAAUCAUUUUAGAAUAAAUAAAUCAAAACAAUCAAUCUUAUCUAUCGUAUAUGAUAUAUAAUUAAAUUUAAACGACAUGAAGUAUAUAUAUAUUAACAUAAACACCUAUUAAAAUAAAAUUAUUUAUUUAUAUGAUUUUAUUAUCAUUGUAUCUUACUAUAGAAAAAAAUUUAAACAUUGAUCACAAAAGUUUAUGUGAGACUUUUAACAGUUUUAGUUAUUUAUACUCGUUUUGAAAAAUUCAAAAUACAACAUAUACAAGAAAAUCUAAAAUUUUAAUAUAUGAUCAAUGUAAUUGUGUAAUUUAUUUAAAUAGUAAAGAAUUAAACAAAAAUGAUAGAAAACAUACAGAUUAUUAGCAAAUCUUCAUUAUUUAAAAUCAUUAAUUACUAUAUAUAUCAUAACCACAUUAGGUAAUUUCGUAGGUUUUAUUUAAGGAAAUAAUAUAUAAUAAAUAGCCACCUUGUUUUAGUUAAUAUCAUAUGAUAUCAUAUAGUUGGUAUUAAAUGUUUCUAGUGAGAUAUAAAAAUCUAAUUGGACCAACGUGUUUAUCAAUUUCAAUGUGAAGCUGACACGUAUGACUAAUUAAGUACCUAAUUGAUUGACACAUAAGCAAUGAAUCUUUUUUAAUUAUUACAAAAUUGAGGUUACAUCUUUUCAAAUGUUCCUCAAUUAAUAUAGGGGAUUAAGUAUAGUCAUAAACCACAUUCAAAUAAAAAUCAACUUAUAUAGCUCGUCUCGUAGGUAUCUCGGUUUAACCUUAAACUCGACGAAUGAAAAGAUAACAAAUCAUCAUGGAAAAAAGCCCUCACCUUCGCUUAAGAGACGAAUUAUAAGAUGGGGAAUUUUCAUAUGGAGAAGACGCGAGGGGUGUUGUCCCAUCAGCAAUGAUGGCUGAUUAGAGUAAUGUCACGGUGGUUCAGGAUGGGAGUGAAGCUACGAUUUCAGGAUUGAGUAGCGUGACACGCAAGAGGCUUGAUUCACCUCCUUGUAGCUCGUCCAUGGCAAGGAUCUAGGCUAACCGCGGCAACUAAGGUGGCCUAACGAGUUGGGAUGUAGGGGUUUUGAUGACGGCCCAUGGUUUAGUGACUUGCGGUGCAAGUCUGAUCAGUUUUGCUUUUUAACCAUGGACUCCUUGAGGCGAGGGGAAGCAGCUCUAGCGUUUUGAGAUUGAAGCCUCUCAGCUUGCUUCCUCUUCUUGGCUCAGUUGAGGCGACGUGAUGGAUGGACAUGGCAGUUCAAGGAGGUGUCAGCAGCGUUAAGGUUUCUAGCUAGAUCUAGGCUUUUGUUUGUCUCUUGGCUUUGGAGAAGUGAUCAUGUCUAUUUAUACACGUCCAAGGCUUUAGAAGAAAGGAAAGAUCAAAUUUAGGCAACAGACAAGACUUUACUAAAACAAACCGGUUCAGAAGAAAACUAAGUGGUGUAGGAGGGAGGGGGUGGGAAUCGAGAUAGUUGUAUUAGAUAAUGACAUUCUACCCCCAUGAGUACUCUAUGAAAUAUUCACAUCACAAAGAAUCACAUCGUGUACGCCGGUGUGGGUGAGUUUCAUAUAUCAAUUUACAUCACAUAGAGAAGAAAAGUUCAACCCAUAAUGUACUUUUCGUUGUUUUUUUGUUGUCUUAACCCUCAAGCUCCAGUUUAGCGUUGUAAUAUAUUCUGGUGCAGUAAUUCACAAGACCUUGCUGUGGGAUUUUGAAAAAUGUCCCAAAUUGGGAAGAGCAAAGAGUUUGCAACGCUAAUGUCUCUACAGUCUGGCCAAUAACAUUUGCUUAAAAGUGUAAAACGAAUCUUUGCCUCAAUGAGUUUCUUUCUAUAGUUAUUUUCUUCUAGUUUUUUUUUGUCGAAGUUUCAUUCAUAUAAUGAUGCAAGUCAAAUGAUUUGGGAGGUAACCAACAUGAAAAACAGAGUAAACAAAGUAUCAUGAAGACAGGUCUGGCCCAGACCAAUUAUGGGGUCGAAGAAAAAGAAGAAAAUAAUUGAGCUUAUUACGGCCCUGUUCGUUUCUCUAUUAAGACGCUGCAUCUGGAUAUUAGCAUUGUUGUCCAUUUAGACACUAUGUCACUAUAAUGCAGAAUUCAAAUGUAGCAUAUAUAAUAUCUUGCACAGGUUUUAGAGCUUCAUUGACUUUGAUCGGCGACCAUCACAAACCCGCUUUGGUAAAGUAUCGAGCUUCAUUGAAAGUUGAGGAUGCAGCGGUGAUGAGGACAUGGAGUUUUGGGUCUCCCAACCCAAUUAACCAGACAAGCCAGCGACGCGGAUGUCGGCUCCGGGAUUAUGACUAGAGACUCGUCCGUGUAUCUUUCUCCUGUGUUGAGUCCGGAGAGGCGAAGUAACCCGUAUGUGUAUCAUUUGAAAAUGUAGUAGAGUAGUUUUAGUCGUAUGGAUUUUAUUCAAUUCAUCGUUGGUAGUCUAAAGUUUUUUUUUUUGUAAAUUUUUUUUUUUAAGUUAACAUAGUGUUAAAGCUCCACUUUAUCACACAUAUAAAUGAUUUGUUUCCCUUGAAUGAGCUCACGCGAGUAAUGUACAUUACAAAAUACCACAAAAAAAAAAAACACUCCCAUCAAACCUAAGUAUUACACAACUAACAUUACUUAAAAUAAUUCUAGCUAGUUAAAUCACAUAAGCACACAAGUAUUUGGUUCUUCCACCACAACUCUAGAAUUCCCGUAUGGCUGAUAGUGCGAAUUCGCAUAGGACGAAUAAUAUUGGUACGGGUAGUUCAUAUCCGUAACUGGAAAAGCAACAAUUUCAGCUGGUUUAGCCGUAUCAGGUUUAGCUGGAGCCGGUUUCGCUGGUUCAGGCUUUUUCUCAGGUGGUUUAACAACUUCAACCGAAACGAUUUCUGCAUUACACAGUUUCCUUAGCUUCAUCACGAGAACCGGUGUAUCAACUUCUCCAACUACUGUCAUUUUCCCUGUUUUGUCAUCCAUUGUUAUCGAAGUAACCCCUUGAGAUCGAGAG
rnacentral:lncRNA from 1 species